CUCCCAUCCGAAGCUCCUGCCAAGCAGCCAAUCAGCGGCCGCCGGCGCGGGGGCUCUCGGGGGAGGUGGUCCGAGCUGGCGGCGUCGGGCUCCGGUUCCGUGUGCCCAUCCGGGAGCCCGAGGGCGGCGUUCGCUGGCAUUUUAGAUGCAACAUGCAUGUUAUGAAGAAGCAUGACAUCACUGGACUCGGCAGGGAGCCUCUGAAUUUUCCUCCUUUGGUCCCCCAGGAAAAAGGAACUAUUCAUUACCUCCCCUCCUCUUCAAGAUGGAGCAAAUACCUUUAGUAGCCAAAACUUCAGUGAGAGGGUUAACAUGUGAAAUUUUUGGCUCUCCUGAUGACCUGAGUCCCAUCCCCAGGACUCACAUGGGAACUGACUUCUGCAAGUUGCCCUCUGACCUCAACACAUAUGCCAUAACAUGCAUACCCACAUAUAUGUGCCACACAUGCAUUGGUAUACACAGUAAAUAAACAAUUGUAUUCUUUAAUUAAAAAGUUUUUUGGAUUUUC